GCAAAAUCAAUACUCAUAAUAAAGACACAAAGACGAUUAAAAGCCUUAUUAAACUAGAUCCAGUAUGCAGCAUAACAGAAAAUGGGGUAUUUCAAGGAGUAGAGCGAGAAGGUGGUGGAGAAAAGAAAGGAAUAGAGGGAACUGCAGUUGGGAUUGAGGGAAUGCUUGGCAGAGGCGGCAGUCCUCUUGGCAAUGUGGUAGGAAGUGGAGGAAGCGCCCCAGGGUUUGGGAGAUAAGGGAAAGAUGGCAAUGGUGGAAAAGAGAAAGGAAUAGGGGGAACUGCAGUUGGGAUUGUGGGGACUGAGGGAAUGCUUGGCAGGGGGGGUAGUCCUGUUGGCAAUGUGGUAGGAAGUGGAGGAAGCGCCCCAGGCCAUGGGAAUGAUUGUCGGGAUGGAGUUGGGAGAUUAGGGAAAGAUGGUAAACUUUGCGGUUGAGGCUGCUGCAGAAGGUGACGAGCUGCUACCCCAACAUCAAUGCUUGCAAAUGACAAAGCAAUCAAGAAUGCUAAAGCAAGGCAAUUGAAAGAGGCCAUUUUUGUUGAGAGAUUUCGAAACAAAUGAAGCAGAUGAAACAAAGUUCUUUAUCUAAAUAGUUGUGAGUGAGGAAAACAAAGCAUGGUAUUGAGGUUUAUAUAGGAAUUGGAGCAGUGAAUAGAAAUCCCCUGGCCCUAAACAAUGCCCCAUGCAUGCCCCCAAACCAAAAUAGCGCCACAUGUUUUUUAUUUUUUCCAUUUUAAUUGUAGUUCAUUUUUUAAAUAAAAUUUUUUUAAUGAUUUGGAUGAAUUUUUAACUUAUUAUCAACGUUUUUGUUUUUGUUUUAUUUUCUAUUAAUUUUACCUAUUCUUUAAUUAACAAAUUUAUAAUGAAUUGGAAUUAAUUUAACAGUUUUUUUUAUAAUCGUUCUUAUAAUAAAAUUUAAAAAGGUGGGAAUGAGUCCCACAAUGACAACAUGAUCCUUAAAUUUUGGGUGGUGGCAUGCCUUUAGUCAAAGGGUCAGAUAACAUUUGCUCAGUGUUAAUGUGCUCAAUGACGACUUUCUUUUCUUUAACAUGUUUCCUUAUGACUAGAUACUUAAAGUCGAUAGGUUUACUUCGACUUUCACUUUUUUACUCUUAGCCAUAAAGACAGCAAUUGAAUUGUCACAAUAUAUGAAAUAAUUGAAACCUAUAAUGACUCAGCUCAAAAAACUCGAGCCUCAAACCCAAAUUAAAUUAAAUCAAAAUCAUAAUUUAUUAUAUACAAUUGCAUAAAAUUAACAUAUUUUAAGUGUCAUAGUGCAUGUACAGCCCAAAUUUAGCUCGGGCCCCAAAACCUACCCAAACCCAAGUAACCAAUACAACUAGGGUUGAGCAAAAUUCGAUUCGACUCGAAAAAAUUGAAAAAAAAUUCGAAUUUCGAGUUAAACGAAUCGAGUUAUUCGAGUUAAUCGAGUUAUUCGAAUCAACUCGAUUUUUUUUUCGAAUUUCGAGUUCGAAUCGAGUUGAUUUUUCGAAUUCGAAUAACUCGAAUAAUUCGAAUAAUUCGAAUAUCAAAAUAUAAUAUUUUAGAGUUUUACCCUAAACUCCCAAACUUUUUUACUUUUCCCUCAAAACUUUUACUCCUUCCCACUUUUUCCCCAAAACUUUUACUCCCCUCCCCUCCCAACCCCCCAAUCUACCCAAAAUCUAUUUCCCACCAAAAUUUUACUCUUCCAUUCAUUUUUUUUUCCAAAAUUUUACUCUCAAAAACCCUCAAAACCUUUUAUUUUCUCCCAAAAUUUUUACUCCCUCCCACUUUUCCCCUAAAACUUUUAUUCUCUUCCCAUCCCACCUCCCAUCUACCCCAAACCCUCCCCCUCCAAUUUUUUUUUAAUAUUUUCCCUCCAAAAUUUUACUUCCCUUAUUUACUUUCCCUCAAACUUUUAUUCCCCAAAACUUUUUGUUUUCCCCCUAAACUUUUACUUCUCACCCUUUACUCUCAAAUAAAAAAUCAAAAUUAUCCAAAAAAAAUCACUAAACAUAAAUAGUAAUAAUUUUAUUUAUAUAUAAUAUUUAUAUUAUUAAAUUAAAUUUCACAUUUUAUAUUAUUUAUAUUAUUGAAUUGUUUAGUCAUAUUGAAUAUUUAUAUUAAAAUUGAAUUCUUAAUUAUGCCAUAAAAUAUUCGUGUUAAAAUUUUAUAUUGGUAUCAAUUUCAAAUUUUAUUUUUAAAAUAAAUUUUAUUAAAAAAAUCAUAUUUUUAUAUUUAAUAUAUUUUUUAAUUCCAAAAUACAUAGUGACAAGAAUCCGAAGAUAAUUGAAACAACUAAGCAAACAAAUAAGCUAACCAGUAUAUAAAAAAUUAAUAAAUAAAUUAUGAGGUGAUGAAAGUUAAUAAAAAAUUUGAUUAAGGUGGACAAAUUUUAUUACGAUGGGUGACAAUGGUUAUAAGGACCCAAAAUUAUUUUUUAAAAUUUAACUCGAACAAAUAUAUUCGAUUCGAUUCGAUUCGAAUUCCAUCUCACUCAACUCGAUUCGAGAAAACUUCAAAUAAAGUUAGGAUGAUAAAAUGAGAUUCGAAAACUCGAUUAACUCGAAAAUUUUCGAUUCAAUUCGAUUCGAUUCGAUCGAAUGCUCACCCCUAAAUACAACCCAAAUACAGACUAAAAAACCUAAGCCCAAAAACCAGCCCAAUAAGCCCAAAUCUAACCCUAGCCCAGAAACCCAAAUCAGAGACAAAAAAUAAAUUUUUCAAACCCUAGGUGCGCCGCACCUAGGGUUCUCUGCCCCGUUGGCCACCGCAUGCUAGGACCUGCUGCCACCGCCCUUGUCCCAUUUGCCUCUGACGCCUAGCCACUGCCACCGCCGCCUGCAGCACCAACUCCACUGCUCAACCCCUGCAAAAUGAAAACCAAACACGCAAAGCAGAAGCAAAAACAAUGCAAAAUAGUAGAAAAAAUAGAUAAAAAAAUGUAUUGUAAAUUGGCUAUUAAAGCCUGGAUCUCAGCCUUGUAAUCUUUCUUCUUUUGCUUUCACGAACGUUAGAAAAUAAAAACAAAAAAAAAGUUUCAAGAUGAUUAUCUUUAUUAUUUUAGAUUUCGAUUUUAUUUUAUUUUAUUUUCAUUUUAUCUUCUUAUUUUUAAGCACGAAAAUAAAAAAGAAAAGGAGAAAGAAACAUACCUGAAUCAGCCCUUAGAUCCGUCGUUAUCAGCCCUUCGACGCCGUCGGAUUCAGGUUUAGGGAAGGGCUAAGACCCUUUUUUUUUCUCCUUGUUUCCCCAUUCUAAGAUUUUGGUCUUUGAACGCGUUUCAACGCACUGAUCGAGAACGCCCUCUUGCAACGCCGGCCGUCAGCCACGGCGGCGCAAGCGAUGGUCCUGUUGGCUGAAUUUAGAGGGAUCGAGAGAGAGGCUAAGAGCUCUCUUUUUUUUUCUGAAAAAUGAAGUUGGAAAUGUUGUUUUUUUUUGUUUUUUUUACUAUUUAUAUAGGGUAUAAAACGAUGCCAUUUUGGACCUUUACAUCGGUGGCCAAAACGACGUCGUUUUGCCCUGACCCGAGCGGUGACCCGACCCUGGGGGGAGGAUCCGCGUGUUUUCUUAAAAAGGGAUAUUUUCGUGCGCGAUCCAUCUGCUUUUGCAAAGCGUUGCAAUUUGCCCUUUUUUCCUUCUUUUCUUUUAUUUCAAUUUAGCCGCAUAAUUUUAUUUUUGUUUCAUUUUAGUCCCGCGUAAAGUGAUGCAUUUUGAAGGACAGGAUAUUUCCUUUUUGGUCCCCCUGCUUUCCUGCGCAUCACAAAUUAAUCCUUUGCCUAUUUUAUUUUUGAUUUCUCCCCUGGGAUUUUGUUUUGUUUUCAAUUUAGUCCCGUUAUUAUUAUUAUUUAUUAAACUAAUUAGUUUUAUUAUUAUUAUUAUUAUUAUUGCAUUUAUUAUUAUUACCUACCUUAUUAUUAUUAUUUACCCAUUUAUACCGUUUUUAGAUUUUGUUAUAUAUAUACAUACUUACAUAUUUUUAAUUUUUAUAUAUGUACGUACUUAUAUUUUUUAUAUACUUUAUACUUUAUAUAUACAUAUAUACAUACAUAUUUUAAUAUAUUUUUAAACAUAUAUAUACAUUAUCAUUAUUUACUUGUUUAUAUAUAUAUUUUAAACUUUGUUGUAUUUAUACACAUAUAUUUUUAUAUUUUUAUAAUUUUUUUAUUUUCAUUAUUACUAUUAUUGUUUUAUUCAAAAUUUAUUUAUUUAUUUACAUGUCUAUUAUUAUUAUCAUUAUUUUUUUAAUGUUUUAGUUUUUAUUUGUUUAUUACUUGUUAUUGUGUAUACAUGAUUGAUUUUUUUUAUAUUUGUAUUCUUAUUUAUUUAUCUUUCUGUUUUUGCCCAUAUUAUUUUUACUUACAUUAUCAUAAUCGUUAUUCCAUUACAUCAAUUUUUACCCAGAUUCGUAAAAAAGAAAAUUUUGAAAAUAAAGGCAAUACUCAGUAUUUGGGAUUUUCGAGAGGAUUGAGCCCUAACGCAUUGGGUUCCAAUUUUCUUCGUUGAAUCUAAAUAAUCGAGAACGCUCUUUAAUCAAAAAACAUAAAUAAAAAGUUCAUUAUCGAGAAUUCAAUACGUUGUGUCCUAACGCAUUGCAUAUGACACGUUCUUUUCUCGAAAUAAUGAUUUUUCUAAAAAAUAAUAAAGGCAAUAUUCAAUGUUUAGAAUUUGAGAAAUUGUGCCCUAACAUAUUGGGUUGCGAUUUUUUCAUCUGACUUAAACAAUUGAAUAUCCUUUUAAAUUUUAUUGCACGAGUUUUUUGGGCAAAUUCAUUCUUGAGGAGGUGAAAUAUCAUGCCCUAACUCAUUGGGUGUGACAUUUUCUCUCUCCGAAAUGAGAGGGUCUUAACGGGUAAUUUGAUUUAUACAAGUUUUUUUAAUAAAUGAUUGUAUUUUAAAUCUCUUUAGAGUUUCUAAUUCUCGACACCAAGACACUAAAUAAUCAACUACGUACCAAUCUUGGGCGUUACGAGGGUGCUAAUCCUUCCUCACAUGUAAUCGACUCUCGAACCCAUUUUUCUGAAUUUAGUGGACCAAGAUCGUUGUUUUAAUAAAAUCAAAUCGUUUAUUAAAAACAACCACUUUUUAAGGUGGCCCAAUCACACCUCAUCAAAAAAGAUUUGUGGCAACUCCCAUUUUCGUUUCAUUUUCAAAACCCAAGUCGACCCCAUUUUCACAAAAAAUUGGUGUCAACAAUGCACAUUAAAUUAAAGUUUAUGUUUGACAUUAUAGAUUGAAGCAAUAUUCAUGUGUAAAAUUUUGAGAUUUAUUUCCUUAAUUAAAGUAAUAUUUCAAAUAGAAUACUUAAACAAUCCUCCAUGUUGGCAAACUUUAUGUACAUUAGAAACAAACUAAAUAAUUAGAAUAAAUCUAAAGUAUGGCUUACAUUUAAUUUAUUCACAAUGUGACUUAAACUUUGGCCUUCAAGAUUUCACGGUCUCAAAUUAUGUCUUAAAAAUUUUAAGAUCAUUUUAGCUUUGUUAAAAAAAAUCAAAAGUUUAGAAAGUUAGAAUUGUUGCUUGAGGCGUGAAUAUCCCUAGUCUUUAGGAUAUUCAUGGAUUUACUAUCUCUCAAGAUUUAAUUUGUAUCAUGCACAAUGAAAAAAUUUAAAAAAAAAUUUCCCAUUUGAAUGGAAUUGAGCUAUUAGGCUCAAGCCUCGUGUGCGCAUAUAUAUUCUCUUAUUUUGAGUCUUACAAGUUUAUAAUAAACCAAAUCUAUAUAAACGUCAUUUAACAAGUGUAUCUAAAAUAUGUUUAAUAUGUGUCAUUCUUUAAAAUACAUGAAAACUUCAAAUAUGGUUUAGGUCAUUUUCAGAUUUGUCUUAUUUUAGGUUCAAAUCAUUCGAAUUUGAGGCUAAGUUUUUCAUGUCUAAUCAUUAUUAAUCCGAAUCAUUUUAGAUUUUGAUCAGUUUAAGUUUCAAUUAUUUUGUGAUCAAAUUAUUUUAAGUUUAGAUAAAUUUGGGUCAAUUCGAAUUUGACUUAAUUACGUAAUUACCUUUUUUUUUAUAAUAAAUUGAGCUGACUGAAAUUUAGAUUGGAAUUUAUUUAGUGUGCCUUUGUGUUUAAGUUGAAAUUUAAACAUCUGUAUUAGAAAUACACAUGUUAAUACAAUUUUAUGUUAAAGACAAUAAUACGACAGAGUUGAUUUGGGAGAUAAACAUGUUAAUUUUUUAAUCCCAACUAAAAUUGUACAUAAUUCUUUUAUGUCAUAUUAAAUACAUGUAUAAAAAUUGUCAAUAAAUUAUGCCUAGCGACAACGUUAUUCAAAUCUAAUUUCAUUGUUAAUACCUAUUUCUAUUUUUCUUCUAUUGUCUUCAACUUUAAAUAUGAAGGAAUUGAAAUUUUAAGAAUUGAGAUUUCUUUUCUUUGUAUUAGUGGACGUUUGAUUUUUCGUUUGAUUUUUUUACUAGAAUUGAUGCAUAUCUUUUCAGAUUUAUCAAUAUUUUUUAAAAUUAUUUAAGAUAUGUAUAUAAAUAUAUUACAAAUAUAAAAUGAAUGAAACUAAAUGCAUUUCAAAUUUAAAAUAUUCAUUAAUAAACUUAAUAAAUAAAAAUUUAUCAUUCAAAUAAAUCCAAAAUUAUUAAUAAUAAUCCAUCAUUUAAUAUGAAUGGAUAUUUUUUUAUUUGAUGAUCGGGUGAAUGGUUUUUUCUUAAUUAUAUCUUGAAUGUGAAAGUAUAUUCCAUUUUUUUUUAAAUUUACAUUCCGAUGAAGCAUUUUUAAUUAGUCAAAUUUCAAUUAAGUUUUUAGCAUAAUAGUAAAUUAUUAAAAGUUUAAUAUUUUAAAUAUUAUUCAUGCACAGGACGGUGCACUAUGUUCUGGCAGGUGUGACUGGAAUUGAUCGGAAUGAGUUGGUGCAAUUGGUACAGACCGAAAUUUUUACCAGUGUAGAAAAAUGGUGUUGGGUGUUUCGCAAUGUUAUCGAAACCAAACCAAACAGACCAAGAACCGAUGAACCCGAGAACUAGAGUAAACUGCAGUUAAAUUGCAAAUCAUCAGCUGAUUAAGCCGUAUUUUCACAUUUUCUAGAUUGGAAAAACAAAAAUUUCACUUCAAAUCCCUUGAGCUUUUGUUACACUUCUUCUCUUAACUCAAUGAAAUAAAACAAACCAUAAAAAGAAUAAGCACCGUUUCUUUUAUUACUUUUUCUAUUAAAAUAUUAUUUUUUUUCUCGUGAAAAACCUGGACUUAUAACAUUCAAUCAAAGGAAAAAAAAGACAAAUUAGGAAAGAUGAAAGAUGGGGAGAGGGUUUUAAAAUUUAAAGCCUUCAAAAUAGAUGAGUUUAGCGUUAUUAAUAUUAUUUUAUAUUAUUCAAUAGAAAAUUAAUUGUAUCGGUGGUUGAACCUGUGAGAUCAAGAAUUAAUUAUUUGAUUAAUUUGAUUAUCGAUUUAAUUUUAAAAAUAUUAAUAAUUCGAUACAAAAUUAAUAUAGUGCAGACAAAUUAAUAUAACAGAAAAUUGUACGAAACGAGCACCUUAAUUUAAUACAUAAUUUGACAUUCAUAUAAAAUAUUAUCUUGGAAAUAUAUUGAAAGAAGAAAGUAAUCGUAUGUAAAUGGGUAACUUGGAAGAGAUGAUGAAGCAGGAAUCAUUAUAUUAAAAGUGGCAUCUUCUCGAUGUACGGCUGCUCACUAUCUUGACUGCAUUUAUCGUUUGAUUCUUUUCUUAAUUAGCCAAACUCAUGUUAACAAUGGUAUAACAGUAAUUAAUUACUUCAUGGACAGAACAUCAAUAUAUAAAUACCCCAUAUAUAAUAAGCAACAACGUAUCAAAAUACACCAAAUAAUGGGAAUUGGAGAACGCCCAUUUAUACAAACAAAUAUAAGUGGGCAAAAUCAAUACUCAUAAUAAAGACACAAAGACGACUAAAAACCUUAUUAAACUAGAUCCAGUAUGCAGCAUAACAGAAAAGGGGGUGUUUCAAGGAGUAGAACGAGAAGGUGGUGAAGAAAAGAAAGGAAUAGAGGGAACUGCGGUUGGGAUUGAGGGAAUGCUUGGCAGAGGCGGCAGUCCGCUUGGCAAUGUGGUAGGAAGUGGAGGAAGCGCCCCAGGGUUUGGGAGAUUAGGGAAAGAUGGCAAUGGUGGAAAAGAGAAAGGAAUAGGGGGAAUUGCAGUUGGGAUUGUGGGGACUGAGGGAAUGCUUGGCAGAG
rnacentral:lncRNA from 1 species